ensembl:lncRNA
CACGACCAGGAUGCAGGACAGAAAGAGGAGUAAGUCAAGGAGGCCGAGCAGAGGACGGUGUUCUGCUGGGUGUGUGAAGUUUGAGGUGCUGGGGUAGGACAGCCCUGUGCAAACGCAUGGCUGCGGCAGCCCGGGCCUGGGGUGCCUGUGGAGCAGAGCCCCAGAUUUGGGACUGUCCACAAAAGGGUGUGGCAGGGAGGGCCCUGCAGAGGCAGGUGGGGGGCCGAGGCCAGGAUUCCUCACUUCUCCCCUGGCAAGCUUAGCUGGCAUCUGUGCUGGAAAACUAAUCACAACUUGUGUUCUGCGGACCCCUGCUGGGAGGGGACGGUCCCUCCACCAUCACAAGGCUAACAAGAUGUGUCCCAGGGAGGCCGAGGCAGGGCCAUGCCCACCACCGUUUUUCAGGCAGGGAGGGAGCAGUGGGCGAGAGCCAGGCCAAGCUGUGCCUUUCUCCGCCUGAGUCACACGGAAUAAUCUUGUCUCUCGUUCCUCUGAAGCACUCCUGGGGGACAGGGUGGGGUGGGGGCGUGAGUCAUGUGAGUCCCGCACAGCAGAUGGUGGAGGCCAGUGAGUCACAGCUCUGCCCCUUAAUCGGAAGUGUAUUCAAGCGCUGGAGAGAGUGUGACCGCGGCCAGGUCCGGGCGCCCAGCUUGCUGGUGACCGUCUGUUAAACAAUGACAGACUACGACCUGCGGGGCUUCUCAGUUCACACAUAUUUCCUCACUGUUUCUCGGUUCCUGAUUGUACCUGUACUGAUGUGGUUAAUUGGGGACUGCGCUGGCUUCUGGACUCCGUGCAAGCAGGGCCUAUUUUGUCAUUCUCUGGCACAGCUCAGCGUGCUCAUUCCUCCUGGACGCACUUCUCUGCUCUGCCCGGAGGAUGGCGAGGAAGUGACAUCUCCAUGGAAACAGGUGUUGAUCCCACAGUUGCUUAGCGAUGUGCUGGUGUGCUGCAGGAUGAUGUAAGCCGCGCUCUGGUUUCCCUAGGGGCUUGGCGUCCUUUGAUGUGUCUGUACUAUUGGAGUUGGGAUGAUCCCUGGCUUCUACCCUUCUUAUGCAAAAGUAAAAGGCAAAAAGAACCGGGAACUGAGCUCCAUGGGGAGGAACAGUGUUGUAAGAGGAGCAGUGUCAGGAGUCACAGGUGAGAUGAUGGUGACACUUUUGCUGGAGGCCGACAGGCUUGGGGAGCCUUGGACGCUGUGUGCAGGGGGGCAGCUGCCGGCCAAAGGCGAGUCCUUGGUACUCCCCCACCAUGCUGAGGGCGGCCACAGUGCAUUUCCCCUCCAACGGCCCCUGUCCGCACCCAAGCUGCCCUAGCCUUUGGGGCCAGGACACAGACGGAAGCCUACACACCAGAUCUCUGAUACUUAAAAUUGUAAACCAGGCCAGCAGAUUGUUACACAGAGUAUAUUCAAUCCUCUGGCCGUGGCAACGUGGCAGGCAGAGUAGUAGCCCGCCGAAGACGCCCACGUCCUAAUCCCAGAAACCUGAGAACAUGUCAUGUUACAUCAACAUUGUAGGCAGAGUUGAGGCUGAGGAGUUGACUUUAUGACACGGAGGUUUGUGGCAGAUUAUCUGCGUGAGCCCCAUGCAGUCCCAGGGUCCUCAGAAGCGGGAGAGAAGGGCAGAGUGGUGCCAUGUGAGAAACCCUCGACUGGCCUCUGACGGCUUUGGAGGUGGAAGAGGCAACAAGUCAAGGGAUAUCGGUGGCCUCUAGAGAAGCCUCUAGAAGCUGGAGAAGGCAGGAAGACAGAUCGUUCCUUCGAGCCUCCAGAAAGGAACACAGCCCUGCCGAUACCCGGUGAGACUUCUGACCCACGAA